rnacentral:rRNA from 1 species
UACGUAGGGACCAAGCGUUGUUCGGAUUUACUGGGCGUAAAGGGCGCGUAGGCGGCUUAACAAGUCACUUGUGAAAUCUCCGGGCUUAACUCGGAACGGCCAAGUGAAACUGUCAAGCUAGAGUGCAGAAGGGGCAAUCGGAAUUCUUGGUGUAGCGGUGAAAUGCGUAGAUAUCAAGAGGAACACCUGAGGUGAAGACGGGUUGCUGGGCUGACACUGACGCUGAGACGCGAAAAGCGUGGGGGAGCAAACAGG